UAGGGAAUAUUGGGCAAUGGAGGGAACUCUGACCCAGCCAUGCCGCGUGCAGGAUGGAGGCGUUAUGCGUUGUAAACUGCUUUUAUAUAGGAAGAAAUAGUCCUUGCGAGGAAAGUUGACGGUACUAUAUGAAUAAGCACCGGCUAACUCCGUGCCAGCAGCCGCGGUAAUACGGAGGGUGCAAGCGUUGUCCGGAUUUAUUGGGUUUAAAGGGUGCGUAGGCGGUUUAUUAAGUCAGUGGUGAAAGACGGUCGCUCAACGAUUGCAGUGCCAUUGAUACUGGUAGACUUGAGUAUGAUUGAGGUAGCUGGAAUGGAUAGUGUAGCGGUGAAAUGCAUAGAUAUUAUCCGGAACACCAAUUGCGUAGGCAAGUUACUAAGUCAUAACUGACGCUGAGGCACGAAAGUGUGGGUAU
rnacentral:rRNA from 1 species